GUCCACGCUGUAAACGAUGGGCACUAGGUGCUCGGGGUAUUGACCCCCUGGGUGCCGUAGCUAACGCAUUAAGUGCCCCGCCUGGGGACUACGGCCGCAAGGCUAAAACUCAAAGGAAUUGACGGGGGCCCGCACAAGCGGUGGAGCAUGUGGUUCAAUUCGACGCAACGCGAAGAACCUUACCUGGGCUAGACAACAGGAGACAUCCCCAGAAAUGGGGCUUUCCCUUCGGGGACUCCUGGUUCAGGUGCUGCAUGGCUGUCGU
rnacentral:rRNA from 1 species